CACGUAGGGUGCGAGCGUUGUCCGGAAUUAUUGGGCGUAAAGAGCUCGUAGGCGGUGUGUCGCGUCGGCCGUGAAAACCUGCAGCUUAACUGUGGGCUUGCGGUCGAUACGGGCAUCACUGGAGUUCGGCAGGGGAGACUGGAAUUCCUGGUGUAGCGGUGAAAUGCGCAGAUAUCAGGAGGAACACCGGUGGCGAAGGCGGGGUCUCUGGGCCGAUACUGACGCUG
rnacentral:rRNA from 1 species